rnacentral:rRNA from 1 species
UACGGAGGAGGCAAGCGUUAUCCGGAAUUAUUGGGCGUAAAGCGUCCGCAGGUGGCGAUUCAAGUCUGCGGUUAAAGACUGGGCUUAACCCUGGAAAGGCCGUGGAAACUGAAACGCUAGAGUGCAGUAGGGGUAGAGGGAAUUCCCGGUGUAGCGGUGAAAUGCGUAGAGAUCGGGAGGAACAUCAGAGGCGAAGGCGGCGAACUGGAGAGCAACUGACACUGAACUACGAAAGCGUGGGUAGCAAACAGG